UCAGUAAUCGUAUUUUCAAUGGUUUUGGCAUGUUAAAUUUUGACAAAAAAAAAUUAUUCAAGUACUGCAAAAAUAUACUUAACAAUGCUAGCAAGCUUUUAGCAGUUACUUGUUAGAUAAAAUUCUCUAUGUUCCCUACUAACGAAAUAUUUAAUAAUCUGUUAGUCCUUUUUACUGAUUCAUAUUUCCCUCGUAAAUAAAUAUUAUCUACAAGAAAAAUAUAAUGAAGUAGUUUUGUUGGUUUUACUUGUAAGCUUUAAACUUUGAUUUCAUUCAGCCCGUCAGCAAAAACCGUGUAAGUUGCGUUUCAACCGUCGCUCUUACUGUGCGUCUGCGUUGAAUUUCGUUAAAUCUGCUGUUUUGUGUGUAUAAUUUUAUAGUAAUGAGUUCCAGAUCUAGAAAAAUGUUAAACCUUGUAUGUGGAGAAAGUAAUAAUACGAAAAAAGCGGGUGACUAUAAUAAUACCUACCCAGUCAGUGUAAAUGUGAAAGAAUCUAGCCCAUCGGAGUUGACCAUGAUAACAGUAGAGGUUCUUCAGACCUAAACGAAUCUGCCACUAAAACUGCAGACUUUUUGUAUGACGUUUUUUAUUUGAUUUUGGUUAUGUUAAAUUAAUAAAGAAUUGUUUUUUUAUUUUAACAACAUUGAUGAUGAUGAUUGUACUAUUUGGUAUUGUUUUUAUACAUAAUAAAGUAUUA